CGUCAGUCCACAAACCAACAGGUGACGUCGCGAUGACUACGUCCAUUUCUUAUAUACAGUCUAUGGUUGACUCUGAGAAAGACAUAAAAUGUCCACCAAAGAAACAUGUAAACCCUCUUCACAGUGUCACUGGUGAGACUGUGGGAUGGUUAACAGAUCUUAGUUGGAGGAUCUAAGGGGCCUAAUGGUACUAUAGGGUAAUAGACAGCAAGGCAGUGAAAUCGAUCAGAGAGCUUGUGGACAGGCUCAGAGAGGUGGACAAGGCCCCCGUCAGAGAGGACAGGAUGCACCAGCACAACGAAACACAGCCUGCACAUCCUGCCAGUCAAGGUUUUACGUCCUGCUGCAGCAGCCAUCUAACUCUAUCAGGUCCCAGAGUCUGGAGGACGAGUGGAGAGGCACAGAAUCCAAGAAGUCCAGAGUGUAGUUUCCACAGUCAGUGAUGAUUUGAGGUGCCAUGUCAUCUACUGGAGUUGGUCCACUGUGUCCAGAGUCAGUGCAGCUGUCUGCCAGGAGAUUUUCAAGCACUUCAUGCUUCCACCUGCUGACAAGCUUUAUGGAGAUGCUGAUUUCUCAUUCCAGGAGGACUUGCCACCUGCCCACAGUGCCCAAACGACUAGUAACUGGUUUGCUGACCAUGAUAUCCUUGCUGAUUGGCCAACCAACUUUCCUGACCUGUACCUCACUGAGAAUCUAUGGUGUAUUGUCAAGAAGAAAGUGAGAGACACCAGACCCAAUACAGACAAGCUGAAGGCUGCUAUCAAAGCAACCUGGGCUUCCAUAACACCUCAGCAGUGCCACAGACUGUUUACCUCCAUGCUACACCGCAUUGAUGCAGUAAUUUCUUGCAAAAGGAGCCCUAACCAAGUGCUGACUGCAUAAAUAAACCUUUUUUCAGAAUUUUUAAGCUUUACAGAAGGUCGACAUUUCUGUAUUAUACAUUCUUUAUUCUAAUAAACUAAUAUUUUGAGAUAUGGAUUUCGAUUUCCAUGACCUGUAAGCAUUAAUCAGCAAGAUUAAAACAAAA